rnacentral:ncRNA from 1 species
GGAAACGGGUUAAUAUUCCCGUACUUCUAGUUACUGCGAUGGGGGGACGGAGAAGGCUAGGCCAGCAAGGCGUUGGUUGUCCUUGUUUAAGGUGGUAGGCAGAGAUCUUAGGUAAAUCCGGGAUCUUAAUGCCGAGAGCUGAUGACGAGCUUUCUUUUAGAAAGCGAAGUGGUUGAUGCCAUGCUUCCAGGAAAAGCCUCUAAGCUUCAGGUAACUAGGAACCGUACCCCAAACCGACACAGGUGNUNNGGUAGAGAAUACCAAGGCGCUUGAGAGAACUCGGGUGAAGGAACUAGGCAAAAUGGUACCGUAACUUCGGGAGAAGGUACGGUACCAUUUUG